AUACGGGGGGUGCAAGCGUUAUUCGGAUUUAUUGGGCGUAAAGGGCGCGUAGGUGGCUUGGUAAGUCAGAUGUGAAAGCCCGGGGCUCAACCCCGGAAGUGCAUUUGAAACUAUCAGGCUUGAGUAUGGGAGAGGGAAGUGGAAUUCCUGGUGUAGAGGUGAAAUUCGUAGAUAUCAGGAGGAACACCGGUGGCGAAGGCGACUUCCUGGACCAAUACUGACGCUGAGGCGCGAAGGCGUGGGGAGCAAACAGGAUUAGAAACCCUAGUAGUCC
rnacentral:rRNA from 1 species